UUUUGCUUCACAGCGGUCACUUAGCGACGUCACGAGGAUUGUUCUGUUUGCUGUGCUUCUGCCAACUGCUGCUGAAAGCAGUUCAUCUGUAAAGAUGGAUUUUGUCAAAGUGGUUAUUGGCGACAUCAGUGAUCCAGAAGCAAUCAGAAUAAAAAGCGAAGAUACUGAGAAACAGAGGAAAAUAAAUGAGUAGUGGAGUGAAGGGCUCUGAUGACCUGGAGCUACAGUAGAAACCGUUAUUCAGCAUGCUGGUUCUGUAUUAAAUGCUUGAAAACCGUCUGUUCUACGGCACAUUGGAGUAUAAUGAAGCAACAUCCCCACAUUAACCAUCUGAAAGCAAACCAAAAUGCUUCAAUGAAUUGCAAACUACGACGUACUAGAUAGUGUGGAACUGAUUUUGUGCUUGUGUUGUAAACUAAUAUUGUUGCACAGUGAUGAAAGCAAAUGAUUCGGCUCUUCAGUGCAGUUAGAUACAUGGGUUCAGGGCUGCGUCGUUGACAGCAAUGUUUUGUCAAUGAUAAAAUAUAAUAAAAGUGCUGUUUUAUGCUUUUAAUUUGUGGUUCAUGCUGU